CAACGCGAAGAACCUUACCAAGUCUUGACAUCCUUCUGAAAGGCCCGUAACGGGGUCCGGCCUUCGGGACAGAAGAGACAGGUGGUGCAUGGUUGUCGUCAGCUCGUGUCGUGAGAUGUUGGGUUAAGUCCCGCAACGAGCGCAACCCCUAUCCCCAGUAGCCAGCAGUAAGAUGGGCACUCUGUGGAGACUGCCAGGGAGAACCUGGAGGAAGGCGGGGAUGACGUCAAAUCAUCAUGCCCCUUAUGAUUUGGGCUACACACGUGCUACAAU
rnacentral:rRNA from 1 species